CUGGGUGUUCAUUGGAAGGACUGAUGUUGAAGCUGAAACUCUAAUACUUUGACCACCUUAAACCUGCUACUGCUAAGUCACAUUCCUAUACACUAAUUAUAUUAAUCAAUACACUCCCAGGGACACAGUAGGUAAGGGAUAUGGAAACUUAGCAGCAAACAUUGGCCCAACAAGUAAAAAACCCUUCACCAAUACAAUUUCUAAUCAAUCUUUUAACUGCUCAAAGGAAUCUGUAUUUAGACAGUUCAGAACAUCUCAUGCCUCUCACAGUUGGGAGGCUCUGAACAAUCACAUGUGGCCAGAAGAACCUGUUCAGGCAGGCUAGAGGACUUCCAAAGGAGUUUGUAGGUUGAAACACUCUUGUCAUGCCCAGGAACUUUAUUAACUGGAGCUGUAAGUUAACUCUUUUUCAGAGAGAGGUGGUGGGGGACAGCCCCCCGUAAAGUCAGAGGUGUAGGUGAGAGCACAAAGCAGUAGAGUAGUCAGACUCUGGUUUUGGGGGUAGGUGCUCGAGAAUUUCCAGGGGGACUCCUGAGGCUCGAUCCCGCCUUUGCAUAUGCCGAGCCUCCUUCCUCAUGACCUUUGCCACGGGCGGAGUUCCUCACGCUGGCUCCUGGCAGGUGCUGAUCACUGCCUCCCACGGUUAGUAAGAACUGGGCCUCUGAGGACAGUCCCCACAGGAAGGAACAAGGGCAGAGAGUUGUGCAUGGUGACAGAGGCCUUAGGGUGGGAAGACAUGUGUGCAGCCAACUCUCAGCUCCCUUCCCUGCACUGGCCCCAGUGCCGCACCCCCCACCCCACACUCCACCGCGUAUCAGGGGCCCAAUCCCACUUGUUGAGUAAGUGUUUAAUAGCGUUGCUUUUCUAG
ensembl:lncRNA